rnacentral:lncRNA from 7 species
GACUGCACAUCUCCUUGUUAUCGUUCUCCUGCAGUUACUCAGAUCUGUUAGAAUUUUUCCAGCUCUUUCAGAUCCUACAAGGAAAAUGCUGUUUAUCACCUUCAAUUUCCCCAACGAGGCCUGAAAACUCAUUAGUACAACAGACGGUGCCAUAUGCUUCCUUGGUCUUUGUUCCGUGUGCCUGGAGCGACUAUUGCUGGAAGAUGCUGCAGCAUGCUCUGAGCUCCUCCCGCUGAGGUUCCACGUAGCAUUUACAGUCAUCAUUCAGUCCUGUUUGCCAUACCCUGCUUGAGGUCCAGGUGGAGGAACUGCACUCAGCUGCCCCCUCUAUGCUCAGCCUACUUCGGAUCAGCUGGAAGGAGCUCACAGGGGAGCUGUGAGAACAUUAUUGCAUUAACCCGCCACUCCUCAAUCCUUAUCCUACCAUGGUAUUUAUGCAUGAGAGGAACUGUGCUCUGAAAGGAACAUCAAACUGAAGAAUGCUCCAUGAUGAUAGAAAGGCUUCUGUUUAUCCUAUGGCUUUGGAAUAAGAGCUUAUUUUUGGCUUUAGUAGCAAAUGCGGCCUCGUUUGGAUCCAAAAUGCAAUCUGAUCCUUCAGCUACAAAUUGCAGAUCUUUAUUGAGGGCUGACAGUACUCAGAUGGGGUCUUCGGGGCUAUUUCCUUUGUUUCUGGAGGGUUUGUUUUUACAGCACAUCAUAGAUGGAGGGAUAAAAUGUGCUUCCAAUGCAAAGAAAUAGCGAAGCCGUUACAGAAUUGGGCAGAUUGGUUUCUUCCCUUGGUGGUACCCCUCCGGGUUGGGGCUGUGUAAGCAGGGAGCCCCCAACCCAUCCCUCCCACAGGGCGCUGUGCUGCUGUCGGCUGUGGGAUUUCAGCCAUCCACCCUUCUGUAGAUGUCAGCUAUCGGUCAUGGAACAACAAAAGGUGCUUUUCUCCCAGCUUGGAAGAGGCCCAAACAAUGCCAUUUCCACUUCUUUUUCUUUACCUUUUCUUCCAGCCUCUUAAACAUCGACCUGACUGCAGUUCAGUUUCUGGCUCAUUCUUCUAGCCCGUACAAUAUGUGAUUUUGUUUGCUUGCUUGCUUUUAAUUAAAUCUCAUCACUUG